AAAGUAAAUGUUAAGUUGGAUGUGCUGUUGUCCUGUUCUUUGAUUUACACAUCCUUCCCCACCCGACUGUCCUUAUCACAGACAACUUCAGCACUCAUCUAGGUAAGGAGCACUUACCAGCACCUGCAUCCACUGAUCCUGCUGUUCCUUCCAUGUCUGUUUCAACCUCAACAGAUGUGGCAGGUCAUUCUAUUUGUGGUCAUUGGUGUCAAUGUCACAUGUACUCCCUUAGCAACUUUUAGCCUACACUAUGGAUCAACAGCUCCUCCAGUUGACCAGCUGAGUGGUCAUCUAUCCUGUCCGACUCAUAAAGGACUGAUCUGGUAAGCAGAGGGCCACUUCCUAUAAAGGAAAACUUCACAUUCCCUAAAAAAAAAAACCUGAUGGCCGAAGC